rnacentral:tRNA from 2 species
GGGCCGAUAGCUCAGCCGGUUAGAGCAUCUGACUCAUAAUCAGAGGGUCCGGGGUUCGAGUCCCUGUCGGCCCA